rnacentral:misc_RNA from 1 species
AAGUCGUAACAAGGUUUCCGUAGGUGAACCUGCGGAAGGAUCAUUAACACAAGUAAAAAACAUUUUACAACACCCUAUUAUGAAUUUAAAUUUUUUUAAUUUUAAUUUUUUUAUAAAACUACAAAAAAAAUAUUUAAUUUAUUUGACUAACAUUUUUUUAAUUUAUUUAUUUAAAAUUUUAUAAAACAACUCUUAACAACGGAUAUCUUGGCUCUC